GGGGAUGUCCGGCCCUCCGUGGAGGACCACGACGUCCGUCUCGGGGUGGAGUUUCACUGUCGUCCAAGGAGGGCAAGCUGGCACGGACAAGGAUAUCCCUCAGAUUUUUAUUCCUCCUGUGGGCCAAAAUAACUUUGAACCCAUCAAAAGGAACGUCUUAAGGCAGCCUCUGAGGAAGGACCUAGAAUAUCCCCUGUCCUUAAGGGCCCGGAAAAAAUCCGGCCAGAUACCCCAGAUGUCAUCCAGGUACCGAAGGUAAUGGAUGGGCCUCAGGUGACAUUUAGGAAGGACCUCCUCUUCCCAGUUGGCCAUAAAGAUGUUGGCGUAGGCCGGGCUAUCAAUUGGUGUAUGUAAGAGGGAACACACGCUGGCAGAGGAGUCCACGCAGAAGGCCCCAUAAAAGAGUGUCGCCAUUGAACAAGUGUAAAGUUGGACCUUCGAAUUUGGAAGUUGGACCCUGGAUUUGGAUGUUGGAAGCUGGAAGUUGGAAGCUGAAGUUGGAUGUUGGAAAUUUGUACUCCCGUACUAAAGGGCGGCAGCACUGAGUCGAAAAAAUGUACGUCUGGAUUUGGAAGUGUAAUUCGAAAAACCUCUAGGGGCAGUAGUGCUCCAUGGUAAAACUAAACAUCAGUAAUUUGGAAGUUGAAAAUGUAUUCAAACACUAAGUCCACCGACAGCAAUCGGUUCAUGUCUACGAUUUGGAAG
ensembl:lncRNA